UCUCUCUUCUCCUUUGUUUCUUAAUUAGCCCAAGUUCUGGGCAUAUCGAGAAAUAAGGCAAAAACGUAAGGUAGACGAGAGAGCAAAAUAGAACUGUUGUUGAACUAAUGAAAGCUCAGGUAGGGAUAUGGCUUAGGGUGAGAGCCAAGUGGGCCUGACUGAACCCCAGAAGUGUAGACUUCUGUACUCCGUCAUGGGCAACGCUGGACUGAGGCAGGCCUCCUCUCAUGGAGGAGUGAGUGAGAGACUGGGUGAUGUCAAGAGUGUGUCACACGUCCAUUUGGAAGGAGCCACCAGAGCUUGGGAAGCUUCUCUGCUGAGGUCUCCUUGGAGCAGAAGGAGGCUUUGUUAUUCCGUGCCAAGUAAUGAAAUUGAAAGCCAGAGGAAUCUCGGCCUUCCACAGACCCAGAUGAAAGACAUUUCAAGGCAACGAGGAGCUGUUGUGAUCAGGAUGCGGCCUCGACAUCAAAACUUGCAGAACGGGUGUCAGCGUUAAAAGAGGAUCCCAGAGGAGAUCCACUGAUCGCAUGAAGGAUGCUUUUGCGUGGGAAAACAUGGACAUUGGUGACUCUGAUUUGAAAACCACUUUGGAACAGUCAGACUCUGAAUGUUUGAUGUCUCUUCUAUUUUCUUUCUCCUUAAGACACACGGUGAGGUGCCGUAAACAGUCGCUAAGUAGGAGCCAAAAGCAGCUCUUUCAAUAGGCAGACAAUAAAAAUUCACCUCCGAAUUUUAUUGCCAAUGUCUUAUUUACUUUUAACAGGUAUAGAAAACAAUGGCGUGCCCUCUCGUCGAUGGCACCUUCGAUUUGACGGAAAACAGCAUGCAGGAUUCUCCGCG